GAUGAAGAACGUAGCGAAAUGCGAUAAGCAAUGUGAAUUGCAGAAUUCAGUGAAUCAUCGAAUCUUUGAACGCACAUUGCGCCCGUCAGUAUUCUGGCGGGCAUGCCUGUUCGAGCGUCAUUACGCCCCUCAAGUCCCCUGUGGACUUGGUGUUGGGGAUCGGCGAGGCUGGUUUUCCAGCACAGCCGUCCCUUAAAUUAAUUGGCGGUCUCGCCGUGGCCCUCCUCUGCGCAGUAGUAAAACACUCGCAACAGGAGCCCGGCGCGGUCCACUGCCGUAAAACCCCCCAACUUUUUAUAGUUGACCUCGAAUCAGGUAGGACUACCCGCUGAACUUAAGCAUAUCAAUAAGCGGAGGA
rnacentral:misc_RNA from 1 species